rnacentral:rRNA from 1 species
GUCGACGAUGAGCCCAGCUUGCUGGGUGGAUUAGUGGCGAACGGGUGAGUAACACGUGAGUAACCUGCCCUUAACUCUGGGAUAAGCCUGGGAAACUGGGUCUAAUACCGGAUAGGAGCGCCCACCGCAUGGUGGGUGUUGGAAAGAUUUAUCGGUUUUGGAUGGACUCGCGGCCUAUCAGCUUGUUGGUGAGGUAAUGGCUCACCAAGGCGACGACGGGUAGCCGGCCUGAGAGGGUGACCGGCCACACUGGGACUGAGACACGGCCCAGACUCCUACGGGAGGCAGCAGUGGGGAAUAUUGCACAAUGGGCGGAAGCCUGAUGCAGCGACGCCGCGUGAGGGAUGACGGCCUUCGGGUUGUAAACCUCUUUCAGUAGGGAAGAAGCGAAAGUGACGGUACCUGCAGAAGAAGCACCGGCUAACUACGUGCCAGCAGCCGCGGUAAUACGUAGGGUGCGAGCGUUAUCCGGAAUUAUUGGGCGUAAAGAGCUCGUAGGCGGUUUGUCGCGUCUGUCGUGAAAGUCCGGGGCUUAACCCCGGAUCUGCGGUGGGUACGGGCAGACUAGAGUGCAGUAGGGGAGACUGGAAUUCCUGGUGUAGCGGUGGAAUGCGCAGAUAUCAGGAGGAACACCGAUGGCGAAAGGCAGGUCUCUGGGCUGUAACUGACGCUGAGGAGCGAAAGCAUGGGGAGCGACAGGAUUAGAUACCCUGGUAGUCCAUGCCGUAAACGUUGGGCACU